GUGAAAGUGCAGAAGUCUUAUUUAUUCUUCCCUGCAGAGGAUGCCAGAAUUUGACUAAAACGGCAGGGCCCGGGAAACACUGACUCACUGGCAGGAAGGUGUUAAAAGUCGCUUCAGGCUGGUUAAUAAAGAUGGGCAGUUUCUAGGAGAAAGCGUGUAUUGACCCGGAGGAGGGAUGCCAUGCCACAUACAUACGCACCGUGAUUCUCAGUCCCCAGGCCACGUGGGAUCCAGCCACCUCAGACACCAUGCCA